rnacentral:rRNA from 1 species
UAGGGAAUCUUCGGCAAUGGGGGGAACCCUGACCGAGCAACGCCGCGUGAGUGAAGAAGGUUUUCGGAUCGUAAAGCUCUGUUGUUAAGGAAGAACGAGUGUGAGAAUGGAAAGUUCAUGCUGUGACGGUACUUAACCAGAAAGGGACGGCUAACUACGUGCCAGCAGCCGGUAAUACGUAGGUCCCGAGCGUUGUCCGGAUUUAUUGGGCGUAAAGCGAGCGCAGGCGGUCAAUUAAGUCUGAUGUGAAAGCCCCCGGCUCAACCGGGGAGGGUCAUUGGAAACUGGUUGACUUGAGUGCAGAAGAGGAGAGUGGAAUUCCAUGUGUAGCGGUGAAAUGCGUAGAUAUAUGGGGGAACACCAGUGGCGAAGGCGACUCUCUGGUCUGUAACUGACGCUGAGGCUCGAAAGCGUGGGUAGCAAACAGG